AUGCAUUUUCAUGAUAGAGAUAAUAUUGAAAGGAGUAUGAUGAUGUCAGACAUCAUAUAUUACAAUUUGGUAGCACUGAUGGAGACGGAAGGGUAUGGUUUUAGAGAUUAUAUGUAUUAUGUGAGGGACCCUGGGCUAGGGAUUGAAGGAAUGGAAGAAAUAGAUGAUGAUGAUAAGUUAGAGGAAAUUUUAGACCACGUAGCAGAGCAGAAUAACAAGAUAUUGAAUGUGACAAUAGUUAGGGCCAGUGCAGAGAAAGUUCCCAAUAUAAAUACCAGUGUUAAUGUCAUUGAGAUGCAGACCCCAAUAGAACAAAUUGGAGAGCCCAAACUGUAUCAGAUUGAUGAUGAAGGAGUGUUGUUCAAUGCUGAAAAUGUGCAUGUAGAAGCUGAGAGUUGUGAUGCGGGAGGAGAACAAGAGCCAAUGCCCUUGCAGUUUGACACACAGCAGAGCAGAAUAAAUGUGAGCCUGGAAUCUGCUUUAGGUGAUGCAGUAGUGGAAGAAUACCAUGUGACUGACAAUUCAGAGGAGCAACUGUUAAUAGAGCAAGAAAUGGAGGAGAAAAGGAGAAAUGAAAUUGAAAUGUUUAGGAACAACAAGAAGGAAAGAGUGAAUGAGACUUGUUUGAACAAGAAGGAAAGAGUGAAGGAGACUUGUUUGAACAGGAAAGCAGCAGUGAUGGACAAUGAAGAGGAUAGUGAUGAUGAUGAUCUAGUAAAAUAUGGUGAUAUCUUAGCUAGGCUUGAGGAGAUGAGAAGACAGAGGAAUGACCCAGAACUUCAUUUUGAAGGGGACACGGAUGUUGAGGAAAUGUGUGACUCAGAGGUGGAUGAUGAGCUGUAUGUGCCACAAGGUGAAGAAGAGGAUGUAGAGGAGGAAGAGGAGGAGGAAUUGGAGGAAGAGGAACAAGAGGAUGAGCUAGGGCAAGGUGUACCAAACAAGAGAAGGGCCAAGAGACAAAGAAAAGGCCCAACAAGCAAUUCACAUGGGAGUAUAGAACACAUGUUUGAGGAGGACUGGAUUUCAUCAUUUGAUGAGGACAAGAAACCACAAGACCUUGGUGUGGAAGAUGAUGAUGGUGUUGAGGCAUUGGCAUAUGUGUUGCCCAAUGGUAGAAAAAGCAGAGCAAAGAAGAUGAAGAAGAGGUUAUGGUUUGAUGAGCACAGAGCUCAUCCAGAGGAGCAAUUUGUGAAGCAUAUUUGCUUCUUAAAUGUGUACCAGUUUAGAACUGCACUUCAAACCCUGCACAUUGCUCAAAACAGGAACUUUGUCUACCACAGAAACUGCGGUGAUAGGGUGAUAGCACAGUGCAUAGAUGAGCAAUGUCCCUUCUAUAUAGCAGCUUCUCAGAUUGCAAAUGAGAAGUCAUUUACAAUUAGGAAGGUGUAUUUAGUGCACACAUGCCCUUCUAUGUCAGAGAACACUAAAGUCACUGCUAAGUGGGUUUCAAAAUUUUGUGAGGAGGCUAUCAGAAAUGACCCAUGCACAACAAUCACAAGUAUUAUUAAUACUGCAAAGAGCAAGUAUGGUGUGGACAUAUCAACACACAUGGCAUACAGGGCAAAGAGGGCAGCAAAGGCUGUUGUGUUAGGAGACCAGAAAGCCCAGUACACCAGGAUUAGGGAUUAUUUACAGGCUGUGUUGGAUACAAAUCCAGGUUCAAGAUGCAUUGUGACAAUAAGAUAUCUGAAGGAGCAUCCAAGCACUAACCCUAGGUUUCAUGCACUGUUCAUAUGCUUGAAUGGAUGCAAAGAAGGGUUUCUCAAUGGCUGCAGACCAUUCAUAGGUCUGGAUGGUUGUUUCAUCAAGCUCACUACUGGUCAACAAAUUCUAGCUGCAACUGGAAGAGAUGGGAACAAUAAUAUUUUCCCCAUUGCCUUUGGAAUUGUUGAUAAGGAGGACACUAACUCCUGGACCUGUUUUUUAUACCAGUUGAGACAAGCAUUAGGUGGAGAAUCUGGGAAGUUUGGGAACUACACAAUAAUUUCAGAUAGGCAGAAGGGCCUUUUAAAAGCCAUUACCAAAGUGUUUCUCAAUUGUCCCCAAAGGUUUUGUCUUAGACAUAUCUACCAGAACUUUCAAAAUGAUGGGUUUAGAGGGCCUGAAUUAAAGCAAUACAUGAAUGCAGCUAGUUAUUCAUAUACUGAACAUGGUUUUAAAACUGCAAUGGCUGCAUUAAAGAAUGAGAGUGAGGCUGCUUGGGAAUGGCUAAGCAAAAUACCUAAACACACUUGGGCCAGACAUGCAACAGAUAUGAACUGCAAAACAGACUUAGUUGUUAAUAAUCUAAGUGAGGUUUUCAACAAGUGGGUUCUAGAUGUCAGGGCUAAACCAAUUAGAACCAUGGUGGAUGGAAUUAGGACAAAGUUAAUGGUCAAGUUCAAUGCAAAUAGAGCAAAGAUUGAGACUGUAAGAUGGGAAAUUUAUCCAACAUAUGCUGAGAAAUUAGAGGAAGCAAAGAAGUUUGCAAGGAACUGUCAUGCUUUGAUGGCUGGGCCCAAUCUUUACCAAGUCACUAGUGGGGAGAGAACUUAUGUUGUGAACCUACAACAUAGGACUUGUGGGUGCAAGAAGUGGGAUAUGACAGAAGUUCCUUGCAAUCAUGUUAUUUCUGCCAUACACAAGGCUAAGCUUCAGCCAGAGGACUUUGUUCAUGAUUUCUUCAAAAAAAAGAUGUACCUGGCAGCUUACAGUCCCAUUAUAUAUCCUGUACCUGAACCUGAUAUGUGGCCAAGGACAGACAGUAUGGACAAUGAGGCUCCAGUUUUCAAAGAACACAAGGGAAGGGCACAGACUAAGAGGAGAAAGGGCCAAUAUGAGAAGCCAGCUCCCAAAAACACCUCAAAAAUGGCCUCAAUUACCUACUCUAAUUGCAAAAAGGUUGGCCAUAGAUACACCAACUGUAAUGUUGCUUUGAAUCCAUCACUGGCAAUGAGAAAGAAUAGGCAUGAGCCAAGCAGCAGCUCCUAUGAACUUGAUGCAGCCACACCAGCAAGGAGGGCCUCUUCUGCUGCUGGUGCUGCUGCUACUGCACCAUCACCAGCAAGGAGGGCCUCUUCUUCUGCUGGUGCUGCUGCUACUGCACCAUCACCAGCACAGAGGGCAUCUUCUUCUUGUGCUACAGCACCUGGACCAGUAAAGAAGAGGGCCUCUUCUGCUUCUGGAACAACAACUGGACCACCAAAGAAGAGGGCAUCUUCUGCUUCUGCAACAGCACCUGGACCACCAAAGAAGAGGGCCACUUCUGCUGCACCACCACAGAGGACAGCUGCUUGUAGUUCAUCAUCUGCUGCAAAGGGUAAAACAGCAGUAACUAGAUCUUCAGCUGCUGCAAAGGGAGCAAGCACAUCUUUCUUGCCUCCAAGGCCAACUGGUGUUUCCCAAAGAAUCAGGAAGCCCACCCAGAAAAUUAGAGAUUACUUGACUGCUUCAGGUGCUCCAUGGGAAUGA
rnacentral:rRNA from 1 species